rnacentral:lncRNA from 11 species
GUUGUGUGUUGGCUUGGCUUGAGUUGUGGGUUUGCUGUUUUUGCGUGUGGGUGGAAGUGAGAGAAAAAGGUGACGCUUCCUGGCUAGAUCUCCGUCUUGCAAGAUAAUAGUGCUGCUAGGGUAGAACUGGGUGGAAGUAGACCUGAGGACUCAACUGGGACCAUCAAGAUCAUCAUUGCCUUGGAAAUAGCAAUGGGAGAGAAGUGGAUGUGGGACUUUCUAACUGAGCCAUCUUUGGAUAUCAAACAUCUUUGUUUGGUGAAGAAGUACCGAUUGACGCAAGACCUCACCCAGCAAAAUAUCUCACCUCAGCCCUAUCAAAAGGCAAUUCAUCAUCUCCAUCUUUCUCUUUCCCUCAAAGUCUCAUGCCUCUCUCUUCUUCCACUGUUUUUCCAGCUCCUUUGGCAAUCCGCUUCUGCAGGUCCUCCUUCGUUCUCUGUUUCCCCCAAACAAGAAGUCUAUAGUACCGGAGAAUCUAUAAACCUCAC